AAUAAGUCCCAUUAGACAAUGAUAACUCUGGUGAACAGAUCUCAAAGAAUACAUGAAAAAUGUUUCAGUCCUUAGUACUUUCUAUUACUAGGCAACAUUUUACUCCAAGCAACAUAAACCUCAUGAGCACAUUUCAAGGAGCAAAGAAUUUCUAAUUUUGUUGCUGAUGGAAAUUUUUUUUGUUAUGUGUUUACUUAUAUAUUUAAGGGCAUGUUAAUUAACAAAAACAAUGGAAACUACCCUAUCUAUUUAUACAUCAGCAAUGUAAAUUUGCACUGUAUGUAUAGCUUAGUUUAACCUAUUUUACUAUACUCAGAUUAGAAAUCUGUCUAAUUUCAAUGAUGGUCUCUAUUUUUUCUUUUUAUUAUAUAACAGGGGUCAGCAACCUAUGGCACUCAAGGUGCCUUUGCACGGCACUCAAGGCUGCUUGAGUCAAACAUGGUCUGGCCUAUCUGCUAGUGCAAAAAGGAGGUGAUGGACAAUCCUUAGUUUAUGCAUUGCUGCACUAACACGAAGUGAUCUUAGAAAACUUCCUCCCAGCACUUGUGAACAGGACUCCACAAUGGAAUAAAGCUCCCUGCAGCAGCUAUUGCAGCUCCUAGUCAUGAUCUGAACCUGGCCAUCCCUACUGGACCCCAGGGAAGCCACUCAUACUGCUAGAUAUAAAGAGCUGCAGGAUACGCCUCCCCGUUAUACAAAUUAUACAAACAGCACACACACAAACACACAGUCCCAAACACAACACCACUGACAAUCCACGUACACACACGCAACCCCACAAGCAGCAGCCUUUCACAUGCAAUACCACAUGAAGCCCCUCACAUACACACACCAAGCACACAAUGUUUUUUGGUUAAAGGUUUUAAUCUUGUGAGUGAAAUAACUGGCAUCUGUUUUACACCAGAACCCCUCAUGGCAUUACAAAAUUUUUACAAUCUUGGUGGUUCCUCAUGAACUCUUUAGUAAACUGCUCUAAGACUGUGGAUAGCAAAAUGUUGGAAAUGAUAAACUCCGAUAUUUAAGGUACUUUUAGAAUGAAUUAAGAUUUAUUUACAAAAUAAAGAAAAUGACUGCCAGGCUUCAAGGUACCCUAGAUACGCAGCCUAAAAUUUGGGAAUAAUGUCAGGUCUUAUGAGAUUCUUGGGGCUAACUGGUAGCCCAUUGGGUCCUGACCCGAGUGACAAAUCAUUUUCUCUUAUUUCUAAUCUGUUAUGUUAUGACCCUUACCCUUUUUUCCCCCUCUUCUUCUUUCUCUAACGCCUAAAUUAUUAUAUUUUAUUUAGUUUUCCCUAUUAUUUGUUUAGUUUAGAUUUUUGUUCCUUUUCCACCCAUAUUUCACAAGUAAUUUUAUUUGACCAGACAAGUGAUUUUGGCAAUGGUAUCAACACUAAAAAAAGGAAAUAGAAGUACAUUAAAAUGAAAGGAAGAUAGGAUGCAUUUGUAUAUGUUGUUAUAAUGUUUAUUACAUUUAUGUGAUGCUUUCAUCCGUGCCUAUACCUAGAAUGCAUUGUAAUUAUUAUUAUUUUUAUUUUUUUGUUUAUACUGUUAAGCCACAUACUGUUUGAUAUACAAUGACUUGUAAAC
rnacentral:lncRNA from 1 species